rnacentral:SRP_RNA from 1 species
GUCAGGUGUGGUGGCUCACACCUGUAAUCCCAGCACUUUGGGAGGCCGAGGCAGGAGGAUCACCUGAGGUCAGGAGUUCGAAACCAGCCUGACCAACAUGGUGAAACCCUGUCUCUA